AUCUUCAAGAAUGACUGUAUUUCUCCUUGCAGGUCUGCUAAUUUCGAGGGAGUAGUCAUCGGUUCUUGGAGAAAUUGAUUGUAGUCCAGCAUUGUCUUCACUCUGUUUCAAAUAUCAAACUGAAAUACCAGCACAGUACAUCUCAUACUUCAGCUGAAGAAAAGCUUCUGAAAAUCCUUGGAGAGACAAUCAAUCCAACUGCUGUAGAAGCAGCUGCUCAGUUGGUGAUCAUUUCUCCUGGAGAAUUCAUCAGAAAAAUGUCACAGACUUCAGCGAGGGUUGGCUGGAGCCCUGGCAGCCAACCUAGGAACAAUGCCUACAUUGCACAGAACAGAAUGUAGCCAUUCAUAUUUGCAUGAAGCUUGUGGAGUCCUACUGUGGAAGUGCCUGUGAAAAUGACUAUGCAUUUAGUUCUCAAAUUAAUAUCGGCUGAUCAAAUUAUGUUUCAGGCUGAGUGAGUUUUUAAGCAUUUUCCCUGCUAAAGGCUGUGUUCUGGACUUUGAGGUUCGAAAGUCUAUCUAGAAUACUUGCAGUUUGUCCAUGUCACUAGUCAAGGUUCUAUUUUUCAGCUCCUAUGGAUGUGUUGU